rnacentral:tRNA from 1 species
AGUAGCUCAAUUGGUAGAGCGGCGGUCUCCAAAACCGCAGGUUGGGGGUUCGAUUCCCUCCUGG